UACGGAGGGUGCAAGCGUUAUCCGGAUUCACUGGGUUUAAAGGGUGCGUAGGCGGGUUUGUAAGUCAGUGGUGAAAUCCCGAAGCUUAACUUCGGAACUGCCGUUGAUACUACAGGUCUUGAAUACUCGGGAGGUGAGCGGAAUAUGUCAUGUAGCGGUGAAAUGCUUAGAUAUGACAUAGAACACCGAUUGCGAAGGCAGCUCACUACAGAGUCAUUGACGCUGAGGCACGAAAGCGUGGGGAUCAAACAGGAUUAGAUACCCGCGUAGUCC
rnacentral:rRNA from 1 species